AUUGAACGCUGGCGGCAGGCCUAACACAUGCAAGUCGAGCGGUAGCACAGAGAGCUUGCUCUCGGGUGACGAGCGGCGGACGGGUGAGUAAUGUCUGGGAAACUGCCUGAUGGAGGGGGAUAACUACUGGAAACGGUAGCUAAUACCGCAUAAUGUCGCAAGACCAAAGUGGGGGACCUUCGGGCCUCAUGCCAUCAGAUGUGUCCAGAUGGGAUUAGCUAGUAGGUGGGGUAACGGCUCACCUAGGCGACGAUCCCUAGCUGGUCUGAGAGGGUGACCAGCCACACUGGAACUGAGACACGGUCCAGACUCCUACGGGAGGCAGCAGUGGGGAAUAUUGCACAAUGGGCGCAAGCCUGAUGCAGCCAUGCCGCGUGUGUGAAGAAGGCCUUCGGGUUGUAAAGCACUUUCAGCGGGGAGGAAGGCGGUGAGGUUAAUAACCUCAUCGAUUGACGUUACCCGCAGAAGAAGCACCGGCUAACUCCGUGCCAGCAGCCGCAGUAA
rnacentral:rRNA from 1 species